UACGGGGGGGGCAAGCGUUGUUCGGAAUUACUGGGCGUAAAGGGCUCGUAGGCGGCCAACUAAGUCAGACGUGAAAUCCCUCGGCUUAACCGGGGAACUGCGUCUGAUACUGGAUGGCUUGAGGUUGGGAGAGGGAUGCGGAAUUCCAGGUGUAGCGGUGAAAUGCGUAGAUAUCUGGAGGAACACCGGUGGCGAAGGCGGCAUCCUGGACCAAUUCUGACGCUGAUGCGCGAAAGCCAGGGGAGCAAACGGG
rnacentral:rRNA from 1 species